GUGAACGACUGAACAUAUUUCAAAAAAUUGAAACAUUACAGAGAAGUUUAGCAGGGCACCUGCGUAUUAGGCCCGCAAAGCUAAGAUGUAUUGUGGUUCGAU
rnacentral:snRNA from 1 species